GCUGCACCGGUUCGAUUGGGAUACUCAUCAAUAAUUACCUGAAAACCGAGAAUGCCGCUCUACCAAUGGCGUGCCGAUAUGCGGAAACGUAGGGUCGGAUUACAAAGGCAGAGUUGGCCCUCAAAUCCUAUUUCUCUCGGAGUUUCAUCACAUCAUCGGUGCAGCCCUUUU
rnacentral:sRNA from 1 species